UUAAGGGCGCACGGUGGAUGCCUUGGCACUAGAAGCCGAUGAAGGACGUUACUAACGACGAUAUGCUUUGGGGAGCUGUAAGUAAGCUUUGAUCCAGAGAUUUCCGAAUGGGGAAACCCAGCAUGAGUUAUGUCAUGUUAUCGAUAUGUGAAUACAUAGCAUAUCAGAAGGCACACCCGGAGAACUGAAACAUCUUAGUACCCGGAGGAAGAGAAAGAAAAUUCGAUUCCCUUAGUAGCGGCGAGCGAAACGGGAAGAGCCCAAACCAACAAGCUUGCUUGUUGGGGUUGUAGGACACUCUAUACGGAGUUACAAAGGACGACAUUAGACGAAUCAUCUGGAAAGAUGAAUCAAAGAAGGUAAUAAUCCUGUAGUCGAAAAUGUUGUCUCUCUUGAGUGGAUCCUGAGUACGACGGAGCACGUGAAAUUCCGUCGGAAUCUGGGAGGACCAUCUCCUAAGGCUAAAUACUCUCUAGUGACCGAUAGUGAACCAGUACCGUGAGGGAAAGGUGAAAAGCACCCCGGAAGGGGAGUGAAAUAGAACCUGAAACCGUGUGCUUACAAGUAGUCAGAGCCCGUUAAUGGGUGAUGGCGUGCCUUUUGUAGAAUGAACCGGCGAGUUACGAUUUGAUGCAAGGUUAAGCAGUAAAUGUGGAGCCGUAGCGAAAGCGAGUCUGAAUAGGGCGUUUAGUAUUUGGUCGUAGACCCGAAACCAGGUGAUCUACCCUUGGUCAGGUUGAAGUUCAGGUAACACUGAAUGGAGGACCGAACCGACUUACGUUGAAAAGUGAGCGGAUGAACUGAGGGUAGCGGAGAAAUUCCAAUCGAACCUGGAGAUAGCUGGUUCUCUCCGAAAUAGCUUUAGGGCUAGCCUCAAGUGAUGAUUAUUGGAGGUAGAGCACUGUUUGGACGAGGGGCCCCUCUCGGGUUACCGAAUUCAGACAAACUCCGAAUGCCAAUUAAUUUAACUUGGGAGUCAGAACAUGGGUGAUAAGGUCCGUGUUCGAAAGGGAAACAGCCCAGACCACCAGCUAAGGUCCCAAAAUAUAUGUUAAGUGGAAAAGGAUGUGGCGUUGCCCAGACAACUAGGAUGUUGGCUUAGAAGCAGCCAUCAUUUAAAGAGUGCGUAAUAGCUCACUAGUCGAGUGACACUGCGCCGAAAAUGUACCGGGGCUAAACAUAUUACCGAAGCUGUGGAUUGUCCUUUGGACAAUGGUAGGAGAGCGUUCUAAGGGCGUUGAAGCAUGAUCGUAAGGACAUGUGGAGCGCUUAGAAGUGAGAAUGCCGGUGUGAGUAGCGAAAGACGGGUGAGAAUCCCGUCCACCGAUUGACUAAGGUUUCCAGAGGAAGGCUCGUCCGCUCUGGGUUAGUCGGGUCCUAAGCUGAGGCCGACAGGCGUAGGCGAUGGAUAACAGGUUGAUAUUCCUGUACCACCUAUAAUCGUUUUAAUCGAUGGGGGACGCAGUAGGAUAGGCGAAGCGUGCGAUUGGAUUGCACGUCUAAGCAGUAAGGCUGAGUAUUAGGCAAAUCCGGUACUCGUUAAGGCUGAGCUGUGAUGGGGAGAAGACAUUGUGUCUUCGAGUCGUUGAUUUCACACUGCCGAGAAAAGCCUCUAGAUAGAAAAUAGGUGCCCGUACCGCAAACCGACACAGGUAGUCAAGAUGAGAAUUCUAAGGUGAGCGAGCGAACUCUCGUUAAGGAACUCGGCAAAAUGACCCCGUAACUUCGGGAGAAGGGGUGCUCUUUAGGGUUAACGCCCAGAAGAGCCGCAGUGAAUAGGCCCAAGCGACUGUUUAUCAAAAACACAGGUCUCUGCUAAACCGUAAGGUGAUGUAUAGGGGCUGACGCCUGCCCGGUGCUGGAAGGUUAAGAGGAGUGGUUAGCUUCUGCGAAGCUACGAAUCGAAGCCCCAGUAAACGGCGGCCGUAACUAUAACGGUCCUAAGGUAGCGAAAUUCCUUGUCGGGUAAGUUCCGACCCGCACGAAAGGCGUAACGAUUUGGGCACUGUCUCAACGAGAGACUCGGUGAAAUCAUAGUACCUGUGAAGAUGCAGGUUACCCGCGACAGGACGGAAAGACCCCGUGGAGCUUUACUGUAGCCUGAUAUUGAAAUUCGGCACAGCUUGUACAGGAUAGGUAGGAGCCUUUGAAACGUGAGCGCUAGCUUACGUGGAGGCGCUGGUGGGAUACUACCCUAGCUGUGUUGGCUUUCUAACCCGCACCACUUAUCGUGGUGGGAGACAGUGUCAGGCGGGCAGUUUGACUGGGGCGGUCGCCUCCUAAAAGGUAACGGAGGCGCUCAAAGGUUCCCUCAGAAUGGUUGGAAAUCAUUCAUAGAGUGUAAAGGCAUAAGGGAGCUUGACUGCGAGACCUACAAGUCGAGCAGGGUCGAAAGACGGACUUAGUGAUCCGGUGGUUCCGCAUGGAAGGGCCAUCGCUCAACGGAUAAAAGCUACCCCGGGGAUAACAGGCUUAUCUCCCCCAAGAGUUCACAUCGACGGGGAGGUUUGGCACCUCGAUGUCGGCUCAUCGCAUCCUGGGGCUGUAGUCGGUCCCAAGGGUUGGGCUGUUCGCCCAUUAAAGCGGUACGCGAGCUGGGUUCAGAACGUCGUGAGACAGUUCGGUCCCUAUCCGUCGUGGGCGUAGGAAAUUUGAGAGGAGCUGUCCUUAGUACGAGAGGACCGGGAUGGACAUACCUCUGGUGUACCAGUUGUCGUGCCAACGGCAUAGCUGGGUAGCUAUGUGUGGACGGGAUAAGUGCUGAAAGCAUCUAAGCAUGAAGCCCCCUCAAGAUGAGAUUUCCCAACUUCGGUUAUAAGAUCCCUCAAAGAUGAUGAGGUUAAUAGGUUCGAGGUGGAAGCAUGGUGACAUGUGGAGCUGACGAAUACUAAUCGAUCGAAGACUUAAUC
rnacentral:rRNA from 1 species